rnacentral:rRNA from 1 species
UACGUAGGGCGCAAGCGUUGUCCGGAAUUAUUGGGCGUAAAGAGCUCGUAGGUGGUUUGUCGCGUCUGCCGUGAAAGCCCCGCGGCUCAACUGCGGGGCUGCCGGUCAUACUGGCGAGCUAGAGCACGGUAGGGGCAGAUGGAAUUCCCGGUGUAGCGGUGGAAUGCGUAGAGAUCGGGAAGAAUACCAGUGGCGAAGGCAGCUUGCUGGGCCGACCUGACGCUAAGGCACGAAAGCGUGGGGAGCGAACAGG